GACGAACGCUGGCGGCGUGCUUAACACAUGCAAGUCGAACGGUGACGACUGGAGCUUGCUCCGGUCUGAUCAGUGGCGAACGGGUGAGUAACACGUGAGUAACCUGCCCUAGACUCUGGAAUAACCCCGGGAAACCGGAGCUAAUACCGGAUACGAGACGGAGAGGCAUCUCUACCGUCUGGAAAGUUUUUCGGUCUGGGAUGGACUCGCGGCCUAUCAGCUUGUUGGUGAGGUAACGGCUCACCAAGGCGACGACGGGUAGCCGGCCUGAGGGGGGGACCGGCCACACUGGGACUGAGACACGGCCCAGACUCCUACGGGAGGCAGCAGUGGGGAAUAUUGCACAAUGGGCGAAGGCCUGAUGCAGCGACGCCGCGUGAGGGAUGACGGCCUUCGGGUUGUAAACCUCUUUCAGCAGGGAAGAAGCGAAAGUGACGGUACCUGCAGAAGAAGCACCGGCUAACUACGUGCCAGCAGCCGCCGUAAUAC
rnacentral:rRNA from 1 species